rnacentral:lncRNA from 1 species
UCCAGAAUCUGUGAGUGUAAUAAAUGGUUAUUCUGUGCCACUGAGUAACUUUAUAUGCAGCAUAACUGGAACAGAUGUUUCUAUACACACAAGUUUGAGACCCUGACAUUUGAGGACUAUAUGUAGAGGUUUAUUUUGUUUAUGCUGAUGUUAGACUAGGGAAGACAAGGGGGGCUAACAUUAGGUCUAAUUUUCAUAGCCAGCAUACGACUGUUUGUUUUCUCUUGUGUUAAGAACGUUCUACUCUAACUCCCCUAAACCUGAACAUUUAUCCCCCCAGUGACCUGACACUCACUCUGAUCUUCACUUGGCAAAUUCCUACUCUCCUUAAAGAUCUUAUGUCUCCUAUGAAACGUCACAUUCUACCAGAAGAUGCAUCUAACUGCUAGGGAAUGGGUUUGGGUGCCUUCUGUGAGAUAAUAGUGAUUUUAUCAUAUAUAUAUAUAUAUCCCAGUUGUUUAAUUAUGUGUUUACCCAUUAGCCUGUAAGCUCCUUGAGGGCAUAUAUGCUCUUACUACUGCAUACCAAGCAUGAAAUAGUGCAGCGUGAUCAAUAAAUAGCAGUUCACUGGAAGAAUUAAUGCUCUUUUCUACCUCAACUCUGCUGUCAAAGAAAGUGGACUGAAAGAGAAGACCUUGGAAAAUUGGAAGAAGUAGAUAUUGAGAAAUUGCAGUAAGUCAGAUAGAAAUAAACAAAGAUACACUGAAGUUAACAACUUUGCCAAUGAGUCUUUCUAAUUCAGGGCACUCCAAAAAUACCAAAGGCAUCAUAUCUGAUGAAUAUCAGAGGUAAAACAGUCUCCAUUCUGAUUCCAGAAAAUUUUGCCAAUCCGACACAGUUCUCCCUCCGUUCCUGUCUCCGCUGACACUCUCUCUCACUUCCUCAUGUUACCCUAGUCUAUAGACUCUUGAUAACCUCCAGAAAUCCAAAAUCUCCUAAUUUAUCCAGAUUUGUCAUUAUAAAUGCUCUAUACUUAUGAUCACACACCUGGUAGGAUUCAAGACAAUAUGGAUUUCAUUUUUUUUUCUCUCCAUUAAGCUAAACCUCAAUCUACAUGAAAUAAUAUUAUAAAAACUCACAUAAACACAUUUAUAAAUCAACAAAAUAAGAUGGAUUCCAUUUUUUGGGAAAGAAAAUAAGUGUAUUUAACUAAAGAUUCCAAAAUUACUCUUUCCAGUUCUUGGAAGUUUUUACUUCCAUUCCUUAAUACUGAUAUAAACUAAGUAUUGAUUUCAUUAUAACAAUUAACUCUAGAGUGCAAAUCACUUUAUCCCUCCCUGGGGUUAUCAACAGGAGAUGAGGGACUUGUUUACCUAAAUGAAACACCUACAAUAGAUGUGAAUAAUUACUUUUGAGUUAAGAAGUCUGUCAGUAUUCUUUUUUUUUUAUUUUUUUAAAAUUUAUUUAUGAUAGGCACAGAGAGAGAGAGAGAGAGGCAGAGGCACAGGCAGAGGGAGAAGCAGGCUCCAUGCACUGGGAGCCCGACAUGGGAUUCGAUCCCGGGUCUCCAGGAUCGCGGCCUGGGCCAAAGGAGGGGGUUAACCGCUGCGCCACCCAGGGAUCCCGGUCUGUCAGUAUUCUUGUCUACUCUUGAUAUUCUAUACAAAAAGUUUCCCAGGAAGUACAAACCCAUGCUUUUUUCCAUGUUCCUAUAUUUCCCUCUCUUCCUUAUGUAUUAAGUAACUUCCUCUUCAAAAACUCCUUUCAUAAAUUGUUCUCUGGCAAUUGGUUCAAAGGUUUUCCUUCCUAUCCAAAUAUUGCAAUCAAUCAGAAAAGCUUCAGUGUGCUACAUGAAUGACCCCAUACUUAUCUUCCAUUUCUUGUCUUUUCUUAGUGAUUCAAUCACUUCCAUAGACAUGCCUAUAUGUCAUACUGCUAUACUCUCAAGAUAAUACAUUCAGACAUUUUACUCUGACCAUGACCUCCCUAUCCAGCAUUCUCUUCUAAUUACAAUCCAAUAUAUAGAUUCUCAAGGCAAGUAAUCUCCAAAGUGGGAUGUGCAGUAUGAAAUAAGCUUAUAUGAAGUAUAUUAGCAUAGAGAUAAAUAUACAUAUAUACAUUGGUGGUAUGUGUUUUAAAAAACUGGUUACUUUCAGAGACUUUAUCUACUUUUUGUCCUUUCUCUUCAUUCCCUUUCCUACUCUUUUAUCACACUGUUCAUCACUUCAACCACUUGCCUGUCAAUAUUUUCUAUUCUCCUGCCCUCUGUCUUUCCAUUGUACCUGGGUUCUGAGUGCUUUGAGAGAAUAAUGACAAAAUAUAAAACUCUACAGAUAGUGGCCACCAUAGAUCCUUGGUUAGCAUCCUUUGGGCCCCAGUGAUGUCAGGUUAUCUUAUUAGCUUUCCUUUCUUAGCUCUCUAUUCCUCCAUAGUGAUUAUCUCAAAUAUUAAUCACUUCUCUAAAAACUCUAUCCGUAUCAUGUCUUCCCUCACUCCUAGCAGAUGAUAUAGAGUGCCGGUUAACAGAAAAAAAUAAUUGUCUUCAGAUGAGAUGAGAAUUCAACUCCCUCAAUUUUCUACCACCAAUGCUAAAAACAUAGAUUUCCAAUUCCCCCUUUCUCUUAGAAUAUAAAGGUAUUUCUCUUCCUGUGCUAUGCUUUUCUAGUCUCACUCCCCUCCGUUUAUCUUUUUUUUAAAAAAUUGUUAUUUAUUCAUG